CUGAAUGACACAAAUGAAUAUCAGCACAAUGUAUUAAUUCUGAACGGCAAAUGUUGUGAAGUCGUACUUAUUUCCAAGCCAAAAUGAACUCGCUUUCCAGAACAGCAGUAUUAAAAAAGACUACGAGCCAGUUUUCGAGUACGAUAAAACAACAUUUCCAGUUCACCUUUUAUACAAUAGCACUCUGAUUUUCCACUUAACAUACAAGCCUCUAGUCCUGGGAUAGGGUACAUUUUGAUCGAUUUACGUUGGACAAAGCUACAGUUCGGUCUGACACCAAUACACUCAGGUCGGACAAACAAUAAACCUCAGUUUCACUUAGGUCGGACAGAAUGUCCGGUGGUUUCCUCUCUACGUCGGACAAUUUCACGAAUGGGUCGGACAAUGUCUGUGACCGACCGAUAUUUUAAGGCCUG